GGUGCUUCAGAAAAAUUAACUUUCUUUUUCUUUUUUUAAAGACCAAAACAACGGAUAUGCAUUUCCGAAGCAGAACUUGAGCAAAAGAAGCAUAUUUAUAUCCAAUGUGUGCGUGCCCACGUAAAGAAUUCCACGGAUCCUACACCAGAUGCAUUAAAUGAGUUGUACGCUCUGAUGAAUAAGGUUGCCAGCAGGGAGUACCGAACCCAGGACCGCAGAUGGCAGCAUCCAUCAGACCUCACCAUGAGAAAAUACCCAAGGUUCUCCAAGAAACCCACCCAAAAGUGCAGCCUUAAGCAAUGGGUGAGCCGGAACUUGGCCCACCACCGUCGCUUCCAGGACAUUCCUGACCACUUCCAGCGUAGCUCUGUCACAGCAUCCUCCAAUGUCUGAGCUACUUGUUACUGAGGGAGUGUGCUCUGUUUUUUCUCCAUUUAAAGUCAGUUUUUAAUUGUCCUGUAGCUUAGCGGUUUGUCUCUUGAUUGUUUGAUCUAUGGAUUGUUCUGUUUUUUAAUAAGGCCAGUUUGAGGAUUUUGUGUGUCUUUAUUUUGGAGACCUUCAGAACCUCCUUUUAAAUACAGGUUAAAUAUGUGAUCUGUUCGGUACAGGUAACUCUUUGUAGCAUUUCUUAUCAGUAUUUUCCUUUGAAACAAAAGCAAGCUUUCCAGAGAGCAGCUGACAAGCAAAGGUAUCCCCACUCUUCAAAAGGAAGUCACACCUAACAAGAAAUCUAACGGAUAUACUGCUUCAGCUACGGGAGCUGGAUGAUGCAAUUUAGAAUGGAAAUCUUUUUGCCAGAGCCUGAGCUCAGAACAAAGCUUUUAAGUUUUUUUAGAGCAACUGCUAGGUUCCCUUUGGACACCAUUAAUGUUGGAAUCACCUGUGUGGUUGAUGUCCUUUUUAUGAAGGUUGACAAAGGCAGUGUUCUGGGUUGACACAUCAAGUUGGCAUAAAUUAAGAGGCAACUGGAGAACAGCCUGUUUUCUCCAUUCCUCAAAUUUACUUGCCUCCCUUGUUUGUCAUCUUCAGUUACAGCUUUUCUUUGUAAAACGUUACAUGUAGAU